CUGAAGACAGCCAUACUUCUCUUUUUUGAGUCACUUUCUGUUCCCUAUACGUCUUGGUUUUUUUCCCCCUUAUUUGCUGGAUCCAGACAAAGGAUGGCAGAGAUGGAGGGCCUUGAGUUUGGGAAGUCAGACUUUGUGCUUCUGGAUGAGGUGACCAUGGAGCAGUUUAUGGAGAAUCUCAAAUUGAGGUUUGAAAAGGGUCGGAUCUACACUUACAUCGGAGAAGUGGUGGUCUCUGUGAACCCGUACAGACAGAUGGACAUUUACGGGAAAGAGACGAUCGACGUUUAUCGUGGUCGUGAGCUGUAUGAAAACCCACCUCACCUCUUUGCGGUGUCUGAUGCUGCCUAUAAGGCCAUGAAGAGAAGAGCCAAAGACACCUGCAUCGUCAUAUCAGGUGAAAGCGGUGCCGGGAAAACAGAAGCCAGCAAAUACAUCAUGCAGUACAUUGCAGCCAUCACAAACCCAAGUCAGAGGGCGGAGGUCGAAAGUGUGAAGAAUGUGCUACUGAAGUCCAACUGUGUGCUGGAGGCUUUUGGGAACGCCAAGACGAGUCGUAACGACAACUCCAGUCGCUUCGGCAAGUACAUGGACAUCAACUUCAACUUCAAUGGUGAUCCCACAGGGGGACACAUCAACAACUACCUCCUGGAGAAGUCCAGGGUGGUCCAGCAGCAAGAAGGGGAGAGGAACUUCCAUUCAUUUUAUCAGUUACUGCGAGGUGGAUCCAAUGACUCAUUUCAUCUACAAAGUGAUCCAAGUGUUUAUGUGUACACUAAAGAGGGAUCUGCAUCCACUACCUCUAAUAACGACCACGCUAGCCACAAAGCUGUGAUGAAUGCACUGGAAGUAAUUGGCUUCUCCAAAGAAGAGAUUCUGUCAAUUUAUCAAAUUGUAGCCUCCAUCCUGCAUCUGGGUAAUGUGCAAUUUGAGAGUGAUGGUGAGAGUGUUCAAGUUUUGGACCUUGAAGCUGUCAGCUACAUCUCAGAGUUGACUGCCACAGAUCCAGACAAGGUCAUCAAGAGCUUGCUGUACCGCACCGUAGCCACUGGGGGUGGCGAGGUCAUAGAGAAGGGUCACACAGAAGAAGAGGCCUGCUUUGGGCGGGAUGCUUUUAGCAAGGCUCUCUAUGAGAGACUUUUUGGGUGGAUUGUAGGCCGCAUCAACGACAUCAUUGAGGUCAAAGACUACAACCCAGUACUUCAUGGGAAAAACACAGUCAUUGGUGUGCUGGAUAUCUAUGGAUUUGAGAUCUUUGAUAACAAUAGUUUCGAGCAGUUCUGCAUCAACUACUGCAACGAAAAGCUGCAGCAACUUUUCAUUGAGCUGAUCCUUCAACAGGAACAAAAUGAAUAUAACCGAGAGGGGAUCCAAUGGCAACACGUUGACUACUUCGAUAACCAGAUCAUUGUUGACCUUGUGGAGCAGCCACACAAAGGAAUCAUUUCCAUUCUGGAUGAAGCUUGUCUUACUGUUGGGAAAGUGACAGACACAAUGUUCCUGGACAGUAUGGACACCAAACUGGCGAAACAUCCCCACUACAUCUCCCGCAAGCUCAGCCCCACGGACAAAAGCAUGGACUUCCAAAAACACUUCCGAAUCCGUCACUAUGCUGGGGAUGUCACAUACUCCGUGGAGGGCUUUUUGGACAAAAACAGAGACCUGCUCUUCCAAGAUUUCAAGCGCCUCAUGUACCACAGCUCCAACCCAGUUAUGAAGGAGAUGUGGCCAGAUGGCCAACUCGGCAUCACCGAGGUCACAAAGCGACCUCUUACAGCAGCCACCCUCUUCAAGAACUCCAUUAUAUCCUUAGUGGAUAAACUGGCCUGCAAGGAGCCUUAUUAUGUGCGAUGCAUUAAGCCAAACGAAGUGAAGUCCCAGCUGCUAUUUGAUGACGCUCGCUGCCAGCAUCAGGUGGCCUAUCUGGGGCUGCUGGAGAACGUCAUGGUGCGUAGGGCAGGUUUCGCCUACAGGCAGCCCUACGCUCGCUUCUUGCAACGGUAUAAAAUGACGUGUGAGUACACUUGGCCCAAUCACCUGAUGGAUUCGGACCGAGAGGCCGUGGAGGCCAUUGUCAGACAGCACGGUUUCCAAGAUGACGUGGCGUACGGCUGCACCAAGCUGUUUGUGCGAACACCGCGGUCUCUCUUCACUUUGGAACAGGAGCGAACCAUCCUCAUCCCCAUCCUGGUGCUUUUCCUACAAAAGGUGUGGCGGGGGGCUCUUGCUCGUAUGAGGUGCCGCCGGAUGAGGGCCAUUCACACCAUCAUGGGAUGCUUCAAACGCUACAAGGUCAAGGCCCACUUCUGGGAAGUAGAGCAGAGGUUUGCUAAUGUCAGGAACAUGGCCGACUAUGGAAAGAGCGUCGAGUGGCCGACCCCACCCGCCGCUCUGACUCAGUUUCACACCAUCACUGUCAUGCUGCAUCGCAGGUGGUGGGCGAGGCAGAUGGUGAAGAAGAUCCCACCAUCUGACAUGCUGGAGAUUCGUGCCAAAGUUGCCGCUCUCACUGCUCUUAGCGGCGAGAGAAAAGACUGUGGCUUGAGUAGAGCUUGGGAGAGAGACUACUUGGCCAAUGUGCGAGACUGCCCUCAGUCCAGUUCCGGCUUCGUUCGCUUCUCCCGGGAGCUGAGGAACAAAGAAGAGUACAGUCAAGUCCUCUUCUCAGGCUUCUGUAGGAAGGUGAAUAGGUUCAGUAAAAGCACAGACCGUGGCGUACUUGUCACAGACAAGUGCAUCUACAAAUUAGAGCCAAAGAAACAGUACAAGGUCCUAAAGAGGAUUCCUUUAGACACUCUAACAGGACUCAGCGUGACCAGUGGAGUUGACCAGAUGGUGGCGCUGCACAUGUCCUCUCAGAACGACGUUCUGCUUUGCCUGCAACGCGGUGAGCUCUGCCCCAACCGGGACAGAGUCGGCGAGCUGGUGGGAAUGUUGGUGGACCACUUCACACGGGUAAGAAAAACAGCAUUAUCUGUGAAGGUGUGCCCAUCAACCAUCCGGCUGCACAUGCGGGGCAAACCAAAGACUGUUAGCGUGGAAACCAAGGCGGGCCAAACUAACGCUGAUUUCAAGAAGAGCAGAGAUGGUUUUGUUCUAUGGGUCCCAGCCAAUUGAGGUAUACCACUGUGACGUGUUUGAAAUAUAAGACAACGAUGGAACGUAAGUGUAACCCCGCCAAUCAGAAGAGUCCUCCUCCUUCCUGCGCUCCUUACUGCAUCCCAUUUACAUAAAAGUAUUUGUUUGGGAGCACUCGUUGGAUUACCAACACUCACGCAGGACAAUGGGAAAGUCCAAGGAACUCAGUGAGGAUGUCAACUUUCUAACAGUAUGUACAAUAUAGAAUGUAACACAUAAAAAUACUGCUUAAUACAAUGCCUUACAGUUGUUUGCCACUUUCUUGUGUUACUUCCAGCUAAAACAUACCCAUUCAACAAACUGAAAAUUGUUUUUUUAAUAUAAUUUGACUUGGACAUGAACACUUGUGGACUUAUACAGUGUUAGAAACAACCAAAGAGGAUGUUCGGUGGGAUACAUUGUCAUUGGCUAUGUGUGUGUGCAAUGAGUGCCAGCAGGAAUGACUGUGCAAGUAAACCUCAUUCCUUGAUGCCUUAAGAGUUGACAGCUCAGACUUUUACCUCAUCUGUGGACCCUCGUUCGGUCGCCUGGCGUGCACAGAGGCGGACCAGUCAGGUUACAUCGGUGCCAUAACAAGGUUUACGUUGGUGAGUGUUUGAGUAAACCUCACCUUUGACGCCUUAAGAGUUGCGCUGGACACCGAGUUGACAGCUCAGGCAUUUGCCGUGCAUCUCAUGCUCCCGACUUUCAUUCGGUGAGCCGCGGACCAGACAGCUUACAACAUGCAUUUCUACUUAUCUUUGAAAGGACCACUUCAUUGCAUGGUGCAAGUGAACCUAAUGUUUUGGCUGAUAUUACGUAGUUAAAUAGGAACUGCUGUUAGAAAAGACAAGUCGUCGCUGGACUUGAAUGGUUGGACAUAAACAAACACGGAUGACAUAAAAGUGUACAUCUUGCAUCCAGAUCUAGACUAUAAACACUUUGUAUGGAAAGCA